CAAUUUUUUAUACAUUAAUUUAACAUAUUUUUUUGGAUUUGGCAGGUUAACAAUUUUUCAUACAUUAAUUUAACAUAUUUUUUUGGAUUUGGCAGGUUAACAAUUUUUUAUACAUUAAUUUAACAUAUUUUUUUGGAUUUGGCAGGUUAACAAUUUUUUAUACAUUAAUUUAACAUAUUUUUUUGGAUUUGGCAGGUUAACAAUUUUUUAUACAUUGAUUUAACAUAUUUUUUUGCAUUUAGCAGGUUAACCAUUUUUUAUACAUUAAUUUAACAUCUUUUGAGCAAUUUAUCUCAGCCCACCACUGAAAAAGAGAAAAAAUGUAGCUCUAGGAAUACACUCCACAUAGCUGUUGUGUCACUGUGUGCGUUUGUGUGUCUCAGGCCGUGAAGAACACCCAUCAACGACUAGUAUGAUCUCCAGUGUUUGUGUCUGUGUUUGUCCACUCCACUCACAUCACCUCAUGUCAACACACCUUAUGUCACCUCACUGUAAUGCCAGGAAGUCUAGGCAUGUUAUGUGAUAGCUUUUGGGAGCAGUAAGUAGCGGGCUUUAUUUUCAUUAUUGUUUUAUAUAUUUAUUUUCACGCCCUUGAACUCUCCAUUUCCGUAAAAAAACGCUAAAUUGUCCUUAUCACACUUCUCACCCUGUUAAUAUAGACAGUAUAGCUAUUUCACAUUAUCAGGGUGAGACAAGUGUAAUAUAUAUUGUUCUGAUAAUAUAUAGACAGUUUAGCUAUUUCAUGUUAACAGGGCAGGACAAGUAUAAUAUGUAUUGUCCUGCUAAUAAGAGACAGUUUAUCUGUUAUAUGUUAGCAGUGCGAGAUGAGUGUAACAUGUGCUGUUUUGCUAAUAUUGACAGUUAAGUAACAUGCCCAAAUUUCCCGGCAUUAUGUCACCUCACAUUUGCUCACCUCUGCAUCUCCUCACCUCCGAGUAUUUUGUAGAAGUGUUCCAUUUCAUCACCUAUACAUAGACUUUCAUGGCUGUCAACAGAGUACUGAAGACUAUAAGGCUGGUAUUAUAAGACAUUCGCUUCUCACAUCAACCAUUUCUAAAGGUCAAAGAGGGGGUCAGACGGGUUCCUAUGAGUGUUUCUUCAGGUUCAUGGUACAGAAGAAGACUCACACUACCACCAGGGUCAUAAAACUACCCCUGGAAAUGCCCACAACUCCUACGAAAGCCUUGUCAAAUAUGUGUUCUUGGGCGGCGAUGUGUCUUGUAAAACGACCCUUAGAGUUUGGUAUUAUAAGACAUUCUCGCUUCUCAUAUCACCUAUUUUUAAAGGUCAAAGAAGUGGGGUCAGUCGGGUUCCUAUGAGUGUUUCUUCAGGUUCACGGUACAGAAGAAGACUCACACUACCACCAGGGUCAUAAAACUACCCCUGGAAAUGCCCACAACUCCUACGAAAGCCUUGUCAAAUAUGUGCUCUUGGGCGGCGAUGUCUUGUAAUACGACCCUUCGUAAAUGUUUGGUGCUGAAUGGUAGCUCACGACAAGACAGAAUCAAAACUAAAUGUAACCGUUUUUUUGGCAUUGUGAAUUUAUUUAUUGCCAGGUUGAUUGACUGUCGCCUGCAAUGUUGUUACGUCACCAUUGUUAGAAUAAAAGAUGACUAGACA